rnacentral:rRNA from 1 species
AGUGAACGCUGGCGGUAGGCCUAACACAUGCAAGUCGAACGGCAGCACAGUAAGAGCUUGCUCUUACGGGUGGCGAGUGGCGGACGUGUGAGGAAUACAUCGGAAUCUACUUUUUCGUGGGGGAUAACGUAGGGAAACUUACGCUAAUACCGCAUACGACCUACGGGUGAAAGCAGGGGAUCUUCGGACCUUGCGCGAUUGAAUGAGCCGAUGUCGGAUUAGCUAGUUGGCGGGGUAAAGGCCCACCAAUGCGACGAUCCGUAGCUGGUCUGAGAGGAUGAUCAGCCACACUGGAACUGAGACACGGUCCAGACUCCUACGGGAGGCAGCAGUGGGGAAUAUUGGACAAUGGGCGCAAGCCUGAUCCAGCCAUACCGCGUGGGUGAAGAAGGCCUUCGGGUUGUAAAGCCCUUUUGUUGGGAAAGAAAAGCAGCAGGUUAAUACCCCGCUGUUCUGACGGUACCCAAAGAAUAAGCACCGGCUAACUUCGUG